CAUCGCGAGUGGAGAGGUCGGUUCCGCCAUUUGCGCAGCAAGAUCAACAGCAAUUUGUGUUCCGCUGCUCUGCUGCCGCUGAUGUUCCUCAAUUUCUCUGCUCGGUGCCUUUGCCGCUGUCCCUCACUCUUCCAAAGGUUUCAACUAAUGUUUGCAUUGUAUAGUACAUCAAAAGAAAAGACAGAUUCAAUUAUAAGGUGAUCAACACUGAAUGCAGGGUUAAGUCCAUAGCAAGAAGAGUGGAAAGCUUGGUUCUGCACUCCUUAGCCACUAUCAAUACCAAAAAAGAAAGCUAGUUAGCCACUGUGUAGUUCCCUGCAAUUCACUAUUUCAGCAUCAAAGGUCUAAAUCAAGUUAAUCAACCAUGUGAGAUUCAUUCCCCUUUUUAGACACUCCUUCUUGUAGAAACACUUCAGCAAUAGAGUAGUCAAAUGAGAGUGACCAUCCAUUUCUUCCCAUUCAAGUAACAAAAUCUUACAUGUGCAUAAAAGAAAAAGUAAUAUGUUUGAGACUUUCCUGUUAUUUUCACUAAAGUGAGAAAAAGUGAAGAAUGGUUUGCAACUGAAUAUUAUAUCUGAAACUGAAGAAUGAAGAAUGGAUAAGGUGAAAGCUUUACCUAGUGGGAAUGUUGGAGCCAGUCUUGGAAGCCAUGGAUGUUAACAGCAAAGCACAAGUGACUGUAUUGCUUGGUUGGACUUCACACAACAAGGAAAGGGAUGAAAUGAAACAGGCAAAGGUGGAGAAAUGGACGAGAUGAAAGAAUAAAAAUGGAGAGAGAAUUUGUAACCAAUUAAACAAUGGUAAAGGUUUCAAUUCGCUGACAAUCAUAAAAGCAUCAAUUGUGCUUCUUUGCACAAGUUCUUAUUAUGAUUGUAGUUAUGAUUUUGUGCUGAGUUUUAAAAUGCACAACCUUCCUGCUUAUGAUUAGCCAAAGGCUCGGCCUGUGCUUUCUGGUAAUGCAUUGAGAUCUAUUUAGUUAUUAUAAUCGAGCUUGACUUUUAUGUCUUAAAGAAAAGUGUAAUUUUUUUUAAUAUAUUUUUAUAUUAGCUAAUUGUCUCUCUCUUUUUGGACAACAAUGUAUGAAAAGCUUUUCACUUUUGAGGGUGAAAUUGGUGGUGGCAGGUUAUUUCUUUCUUUGGUCUUGCCAAACCUACUUUAUAUAAUUAGAUACAAUUUUUCUAAUAAACUUAGAUAAUGGUCCUAAAUUGCUCUGAUAACAAAGCUAACUUC